rnacentral:rRNA from 1 species
AACGAACGCUGGCGGCAGGCCUAACACAUGCAAGUCGAACGCCCCGCAAGGGGAGUGGCAGACGGGUGAGUAACGCGUGGGAACCUACCUAGAGGUGCGGAAUAGCCCAGGGAAACUUGGAGUAAUACCGCAUAAGCCCGCAAGGGGAAAGAUUUAUCGCCUUUAGAUGGGCCCGCGUCUGAUUAGCUAGUUGGUGAGGUAAUGGCUCACCAAGGCGACGAUCAGUAGCUGGUUUGAGAGAAUGACCAGCCACACUGGGACUGAGACACGGCCCAGACUCCUACGGGAGGCAGCAGUGGGGAAUCUUGGACAAUGGGGGCAACCCUGAUCCAGCCAUGCCGCGUGAGUGACGAAGGCCUUAGGGUUGUAAAGCUCUUUUGGCGGGGACGAUAAUGACGGUACCCGCAGAAUAAGUCCCGGCUAACUUCGUGCCAGCAGCCGCGGUAAAGUCUGUACU